UGGGGAAUAUUGGGGCAAUGGGGGCGCAAGCCUGACCCAGCAACGCCGCGUGAAGGAAGAAGGCCCUCGGGUUGUAAACUUCUUUUAUCAGGGACGAACACAAUGACGGUACCUGAUGAAUAAGCCACGGCUAACUACGUGCCAGCAGCCGCGGUAAUACGUAGGUGGCAAGCGUUAUCCGGAUUUACUGGGUGUAAAGGGAGCGCAGGCGGACCGGCAAGUUGGAAGUGAAAUCUAUGGGCUCAACCCAUAAAUUGCUUUCAAAACUGCUGGCCUUGAGUAGUGCAGAGGUAGGUGGAAUUCCCGGUGUAGCGGUGGAAUGCAUAGAUAUCGGGAGGAACACCAGUGGCGAAGGCGACCUACUGGGCACCAACUGACGCUGAGGCUCGAAAGCAUGGGUAGCAAACAGGAUUAGAUACCCUGGUAGU
rnacentral:rRNA from 1 species